GCCCGGGUGGCUCAGUCAGUUGAGCAUCUGACUUCCACUCAGGUCAUAAUCUCAUGGUUUGUGAGUUCAAGCCCCAUGUCGGGCU
rfam:Felis catus isolate Cinnamon breed Abyssinian chromosome F1, whole genome shotgun sequence.